UACGGAGGGUCCAAGCGUUAUCCGGAAUCAUUGGGUUUAAAGGGUCCGUAGGCGGUUUUGUAAGUCAGUGGUGAAAGCCCAUCGCUCAACGGUGGAACGGCCAUUGAUACUGCAAGACUUGAAUUAUUGUGAAGUAACUAGAAUAUGUAGUGUAGCGGUGAAAUGCUUAGAGAUUACAUGGAAUACCAAUUGCGAAGGCAGGUUACUACUAAUGGAUUGACGCUGAUGGACGAAAGCGUGGGUAGCGAACAGG
rnacentral:rRNA from 1 species